UACGAAGGGGGGCUAGCGUUGCUCGGAAUCACUGGGCGUAAAGGGUGCGUAGGCGGGUCUUUAAGUCAGGGGUGAAAUCCUGGAGCUCAACUCCAGAACUGCCUUUGAUACUGAGGAUCUUGAGUCCGGGAGAGGUGAGUGGAACUGCGAGUGUAGAGGUGAAAUUCGUAGAUAUUCGCAAGAACACCAGUGGCGAAGGCGGCUCACUGGCCCGGUACUGACGCUGAGGUGCGAAAGCGUGGGGAGCAAACAGG
rnacentral:rRNA from 1 species